GAUGAACGCUGGCGGCGUGCCUGAUACAUGCAAGUCGAGCGAAUGGAUUAAGAGCUUGCUCUUAUGAAGUUAGCGGCGGACGGGUGAGUAACACGUGGGUAACCUGCCCAUAAGACUGGGAUAACUCCGGGAAACCGGGGCUAAUACCGGAUAACAUUUUGAACCGCAUGGUUCGAAAUUGAAAGGCGGCUUCGGCUGUCACUUAUGGAUGGACACGCGUCGCAUUAGCUAGUUGGUGAGGUAACGGCUCACCAAGGCAACGAUGCGUAGCCGACCUGAGAGGGUGAUCGGCCACACUGGGACUGAGACACGGCCCAGACUCCUACGGGAGGCAGCAGUAGGGAAUCUUCCGCAAUGGACGAAAGUCUGACGGAGCAACGCCGCGUGAGUGAUGAAGGCUUUCGGGUCGUAAAACUCCGUUGUUAGGGAAGAACAAGUGCUAGUUGAAUAAGCUGGCACCUUGACGGUACCUAACCAGAAAGCCACGGCUAACUACGUGCCAGCCGCCGCGGUAA
rnacentral:rRNA from 1 species